rnacentral:rRNA from 1 species
UACGGAGGAUGCAAGCGUUAUCCGGAAUGAUUGGGCGUAAAGCGUCCGCAGGUGGCAGUUCAAGUCUGCUGUCAAAGACCGGGGCUUAACUUCGGAAAGGCAGUGGAAACUGAACAGCUAGAGUAUGGUAGGGGCAGAGGGAAUUCCUGGUGUAGCGGUGAAAUGCGUAGAUAUCAGGAAGAACAUCGGUGGCGAAGGCGCUCUGCUGGACCAUAACUGACACUCAGGGACGAAAGCGAGGGGAGCGAAUGGG